GACGAACGCUGGCGGCGUGCCUAAUACAUGCAAGUAGGACGCAGUUGCGAACGGGUGAGUAACGCGUAGGUAACUACCUAUUAGAGGGGGAUAACUAUUGGAAACGAUAGCUAAUACCGCAUACUAGUAGAUGGACCUGCGUUGUAUUAGCUAGUAGGUAGGGCAAUGGCCUACCUCGGCAACGAUACAUAGACGAGCUGGGAGGUGGAUCGGGCAAACUUGGACCGAGACACGGCCCAGACGCCUACGGGAGGGAGCAGUAGGGAAUCUUCGGCAAGGGGGGGAACCCUGACCGAGCAACGCCGCGUGAUUGAAGAAGGUUUUCGGAUCGUAAAGCUCUGUUGUUAAGGAAGCGUUACUUAACCAGAAAGGGACGGCUAACUACGUGCCAGCCGCCGCGGUAAUAC
rnacentral:rRNA from 1 species